rnacentral:rRNA from 1 species
UACGUAGGGCGCAAGCGUUGUUCGGAAUUAUUGGGCGUAAAGAGCUCGUAGGCGGUUUGUCGCGUCUGCUGUGAAAACGCGAGGCUUAACCUCGCGCCUGCAGUGGGUACGGGCAGACUAGAGUGCGGUAGGGGAGACUGGAAUUCCUGGUGUAGCGGUGGAAUGCGCAGAUAUCAGGAGGAACACCGGUGGCGAAGGCGGGUCUCUGGGCCGUUACUGACGCUGAGGAGCGAAAGCAUGGGGAGCGAACAGG